rnacentral:rRNA from 1 species
AUGUACUGUAUCAGAUAUGUGGCCACGUGCACUUCAUCAGACUUUUGUUUUCAUAGUCAGGCCGGCGCGCGGCACCCGGCCGUCCGCCGUCCAUCCCAGCCCAGCGGGCGCGCUCUCUCUCCCUGUCCCUCGCUCGUUCCACUUCCACCCCAGCGGGAGCGCGAGCGCUGCGACCAGCGUAGCGCCGCCGCAGCAACCUCCGGCGGCUGCCCCGCAAUGGAUCUGGUGGUGGUCGGCGACGGCCCUGGGAGGCCGACGCGGUGCCGAGAUCGAGGCGGCGGCGAGGCAUCUCGCGUCUUCCCCGCCUCCUCCUCCGAAGGUGCCCGACAGUUGAUAGGUGUAACCAACAAUUUUCAGAAACCAAAAUCAAAUGCAGACUUCAGUAUUACCUGA